UACGGAGGGGGCGAGCGUUAUUCGGAAUUAUUGGGCGUAAAGAGCUCGUAGGCGGUUUGUCGCGUCGAAUGUGAAAACCCGGGGCUCAACUCCGGGCCUGCAUUCGAUACGGGCAGACUAGAGUUCGGUAGGGGAGACUGGAAUUCCUGGUGUAGCGGUGGAAUGCGCAGAUAUCAGGAGGAACACCGGUGGCGAAGGCGGGUCUCUGGGCAGUAACUGACGCUGAGGAGCGAAAGCGUGGGGAGCGAACAGG
rnacentral:rRNA from 1 species